ACAUGCAAGUCGAGCGAAUCAAUGGGAGCUUGCUCCCGUUGGUUAGCGGCGGACGGGUGAGUAACACGUGGGCAACCUGCCUGUAAGACUGGGAUAACUUCGGGAAACCGGAGCUAAUACCGGAUAAUUCUUUCCCUCUCAUGAGGGAAAGCUGAAAGUCGGUUUCGGCUGACACUUACAGAUGGGCCCGCGGCGCAUUAGCUAGUUGGUGAGGUAACGGCUCACCAAGGCAACGAUGCGUAGCCGACCUGAGAGGGUGAUCGGCCACACUGGGACUGAAACACGGCCCAGACUCCUACGGGAGGCAGCAGUAGGGAAUCUUCCACAAUGGACGAAAGUCUGAUGGAGCAACGCCGCGUGAGCGAUGAAGGCCUUCGGGUCGUAAAGCUCUGUUGUUAGGGAAGAACAAGUAUCGGAAUAACUGCCGGUACCUUGACGGUACCUAACCAGAAAGCCACGGCUAACUACGUGCCAGCAGCCGCGGUAAUACGUAGGUGGCAAGCGUUGUCCGGAAUUAUUGGGCGUAAAGCGCGCGCAGGCGGUCCUUUAAGUCUGAUGUGAAAGCCCACGGCUCAACCGUGGAGGGUCAUUGGAAACUGGGGGACUUGAGUGCAGAAGAAGAAAGCGGAAUUCCACGUGUAGCGGUGAAAUGCGUAGAGAUGUGGAGGAACACCAGUGGCGAAGGCGGCUUUCUGGUCUGUAACUGACGCUGAAGCGCGAAAGCGUGGGGAGCAAACAGGAUUAGAUACCCUGGUAGUCCACGCCGUAAACGAUGAGUGCUAAGUGUUAGGGGGUUUCCGCCCCCUUAGUGCUGCAGCUAACGCAUUAAGCACUCCCGCCCUGGGGAGUACGGCCGCAAGGCUGAAACUCAAAGGGAAUUGACGGGGGCCCGCACAAGCGGGGAGCAUGGGGGUUUAAUUCGAAGC
rnacentral:rRNA from 2 species